UAGAGGCUUAACACAUGCAAGUCGAGGGGCAUCAGGAAGAAAGCUUGCUUUCUUUGCUGGCGACCGGCGCACGGGUGAGUAACACGUAUCCAACCUGCCCUUUACUCGGGGAUAGCCUUUCGAAAGAAAGAUUAAUACCCGAUAGCAUAAUGAUUCCGCAUGGUUUCAUUAUUAAAGGAUUCCGGUAAAGGAUGGGGAUGCGUUCCAUUAGGUUGUUGGUGAGGUAACGGCCCACCAAGCCUUCGAUGGAUAGGGGUUCUGAGAGGAAGGUCCCCCACAUUGGAACUGAGACACGGUCCAAACUCCUACGGGAGGCAGCAGUGAGGAAUAUUGGUCAAUGGGCGCUAGCCUGAACCAGCCAAGUAGCGUGAAGGAUGAAGGCUCUAUGGGUCGUAAACUUCUUUUAUAUAAGAAUAAAGUGCAGUAUGUAUACUGUUUUGUAUGUAUUAUAUGAAUAAGGAUCGGCUAACUCCGUGCCAGCAGCCGCGGUAAUACGGAGGAUCCGAGCGUUAUCCGGAUUUAUUGGGUUUAAAGGGAGCGUAGGUGGACUGGUAAGUCAGUUGUGAAAGUUUGCGGCUCAACCGUAAAAUUGCAGUUGAUACUGUCAGUCUUGAGUACAGUAGAGGUGGGCGGAAUUCGUGGUGUAGCGGUGAAAUGCUUAGAUAUCACGAAGAACUCCGAUUGCGAAGGCAGCUCACUGGACUGCAACUGACACUGAUGCUCGAAAGUGUGGGUAUCAAACAGGAUUAGAUACCCUGGUAGUCCACACAGUAAACGAUGAAUACUCGCUGUUUGCGAUAUACAGUAAGCGGCCAAGCGAAAGCAUUAAGUAUUCCACCUGGGGAGUACGCCGGCAACGGUGAAACUCAAAGGAAUUGACGGGGGCCCGCACAAGCGGAGGAACAUGUGGUUUAAUUCGAUGAUACGCGAGGAACCUUACCCGGGCUUAAAUUGCAGUGGAAUGAUGUGGAAACAUGUCAGUGAGCAAUCACCGCUGUGAAGGUGCUGCAUGGUUGUCGUCAGCUCGUGCCGUGAGGUGUCGGCUUAAGUGCCAUAACGAGCGCAACCCUUAUCUUUAGUUACUAACAGGUUAUGCUGAGGACUCUAGAGAGACUGCCGUCGUAAGAUGUGAGGAAGGUGGGGAUGACGUCAAAUCAGCACGGCCCUUACGUCCGGGGCUACACACGUGUUACAAUGGGGGGUACAGAAGGCAGCUAGCGGGUGACCGUAUGCUAAUCCCAAAAUCCUCUCUCAGUUCGGAUCGAAGUCUGCAACCCGACUUCGUGAAGCUGGAUUCGCUAGUAAUCGCGCAUCAGCCACGGCGCGGUGAAUACGUUCCCGGGCCUUGUACACACCGCCCGUCAAGCCAUGGGAGCCGGGGGUACCUGAAGUACGUAACCGCAAGGAUCGUCCUAGGGUAAAACUGGUGACUGGGGCUA
rnacentral:rRNA from 1 species